UACGGAGGGGGCUAGCGUUGUCCGAAGUUACUGGGCGUAAAGCGCGCGUAGGCGGGUUGGUAAGUCCGCUGUGAAAGCCCGGAGCUUAACUCCGGAGGGUCGGUGGAUACUGCCAGUCUUGAAGGUGCUAGGGGGAGAUGGAAUUACCGGUGUAGCGGUGAAAUGCGUAGAUAUCGGUAGGAACACCAAUAGCGAAGGCAGCUCGCUGGGACGUUACUGACACUGAGGCGCGAAAGCGUGGGGAGCGAACAGG
rnacentral:rRNA from 1 species